rnacentral:rRNA from 1 species
ACUCCUACGGGAGGCAGCAGUGGGGAAUAUUGGACAAUGGGCGCAAGCCUGAUCCAGCAAUGCCGCGUGGGUGAUGAAGGCCUUCGGGUUGUAAAGCCCUUUUGGCGGGGACGAUGAUGACGGUACCCGCCGAAUAAGCUCCGGCUAACUUCGUGCCAGCAGCCGCGGUAAU